rnacentral:misc_RNA from 1 species
GAUGAAGAACGCAGCGAAAUGCGAUAAGUAAUGUGAAUUGCAGAAUUCAGUGAAUCAUCGAAUCUUUGAACGCACCUUGCGCCCGUUGGCUAUUCUGAAGGGCAUGCCUGUUUGAGUAUCGUGAACACCUCAACUCUCAUGGUCUGCCAUGAUGAGCUUGGACUUUGGGGGUCUUGCUGGCCUACUGUCAGCUCCUCUCAAAUGAAUCAGCUUACCAGUGUUUGGUGGCACCACAGGUGUGAUAACUAUCUACGCUUGUGGUUUUCUGCCAGGUAACCUCCAGUGAUGGAGGUUCGCUGGAGCUCACAAAUGUCUCUCCUCAGCGAGGACAGCUUUUUGAACGUUUGAUCUCAAAUCAGGUAGGACUACCCGCUGAACUUAAGCAUAUCAAUAAGCGGAGGA